rnacentral:rRNA from 1 species
CAGCCGCCGCGGUAAUACGUAGGUGGCGAGCGUUGUCCGGAAUUACUGGGUGUAAAGGGAGCGCAGGCGGAAUAGCAAGUCAGUGGUGAAAUGUAUGGGCUUAACCCAUAAAUUGCCGUUGAAACUGUUAUUCUUGAGUGGAGUAGAGGCAAGUGGAAUUCCGAGUGUAGCGGUGAAAUGCGUAGAUAUUCGGAGGAACACCGGUGGCGAAGGCGACUUGCUGGGCUCUAACUGACGCUGAGGCUCGAAAGUGUGGGGAGCAAACAGGAUUAGAUACCCUGGUAGUCCACACCGUAAACGAUGAUAGCUAGGUGUGGGGGGAGCUAUCCCCUCCGUGCCGGAGUUAACGCAUUAAGCUAUCCACCUGGGGAGUACGAUCGCAAGAUUAAAACUCAAAGGAAUUGACGGGGGCCCGCACAAGCAGUGGAUUAUGUGGUUUAAUUCGAAGCAACGCGAAGAACCUUACCAGGUCUUGACAUCAAGUGACGUCUUAAGAGAUUAGGAUUUCCUUCGGGACACGAAGACAGGUGGUGCAUGGCC